rnacentral:rRNA from 1 species
GACGAACGCUGGCGGCGUGCUUAACACAUGCAAGUCGAACGGAAAGGCCCUGCUUUUGUGGGGUGCUCGAGUGGCGAACGGGUGAGUAACACGUGAGUAACCUGCCCUUGACUUUGGGAUAACUUCAGGAAACUGGGGCUCAUACCGGAUAGGAGCUCCUGCUGCAUGGUGGGGGUUGGAAAGUUUCGGCGGUUGGGGAUGGACUCGCGGCUUAUCAGCUUGUUGGUGGGGUAGUGGCUUACUAAGGCUUUGACGGGUAGCCGGCCUGAGAGGGUGACCGGCCACAUUGGGACUGAGAUACGGCCCAGACUCCUACGGGAGGCAGCAGUGGGGAAUAUUGCACAAUGGGCGGAAGCCUGAUGCAGCAACGCCGCGUGCGGGAUGACGGCCUUCGGGUUGUAAACCGCUUUCGCCUGUGACGAAGCGUGAGUGACGGUAAUGGGUAAAGAAGCACCGGCUAACUACGUG